UUUCACAUACCUCAUGAAACAGAAUAUGAGAACUUCAAAACUUUUUCUGAAAAGCAAUGAAUUCAAAAGACCUUACGAAUUCCAGAAGAGAGUUAUAAAAUAUUUCGAAUAGAACCUGAAGCAUUUAAAAGGUUAGCUUCAUUAAUCAAUGGCGGAUCCAAAAAAAUUUUCUAGUGGAGUCAAAUCUAUACUAAUCUAUGAAUUCCCAAUAUCCUGCUGACGUGGCGUGACCUCCUUCUCCCAAAACCGCUCCCUACUCAUCUCCCAAAAUCGCUCCAUCUUCAUCUCCCAAAAUCGCCUCAUCUCCCAAAACUGCUCCCUUUUCAUUUUCCAACCCCUGAGACUUCUCAUCUCCCAAAACCGCCCACCACCCCUCCCUCUUCCGGGCAAAAAUUUUAUGGACACCGUCCCGCUGCUCUGCCUCUUAGGAGAGCAGCGGGUUUUUUUUGGUGCACCCGGUGUACUAUUUUUACUUUAAAAUUUUAAUUUUAAUUUUAAUUUAAUAUAAUAAAUAUUUAUUUUAUUAUAUUUAAAAAAUAUAUGUAAAAAAUAAUUUUAAAUCUUUAAAUUCUAAAUUAUUUUUAUAUAUUUUUAAAAUAUCAUAAUAUAUAUAUAAUUAAAUUAUAAUGAAAAGAUA
rnacentral:lncRNA from 1 species